AUGCAAGUCGAGCGGUAGCACAGAGAGCUUGCUCUCGGGUGACGAGCGGCGGACGGGUGAGUAAUGUCUGGGAAACUGCCUGAUGGAGGGGGAUAACUACUGGAAACGGUAGCUAAUACCGCAUAACGUCGCAAGACCAAAGUGGGGGACCUUCGGGCCUCAUGCCAUCAGAUGUGCCCAGAUGGGAUUAGCUAGUAGGUGGGGUAACGGCUCACCUAGGCGACGAUCCCUAGCUGGUCUGAGAGGAUGACCAGCCACACUGGAACUGAGACACGGUCCAGACUCCUACGGGAGGCAGCAGUGGGGAAUAUUGCACAAUGGGCGCAAGCCUGAUGCAGCCAUGCCGCGUGUGUGAAGAAGGCCUUCGGGUUGUAAAGCACUUUCAGCGGGGAGGAAGGCGAUAAGGUUAAUAACCUUGUCGAUUGACGUUACCCGCAGAAGAAGCACCGGCUAACUCCGUGCCAGCAGCCGCGGUAAUACGGAGGGUGCAAGCGUUAAUCGGAAUUACUGGGCGUAAAGCGCACGCAGGCGGUCUGUCAAGUCGGAUGUGAAAUCCCCGGGCUCAACCUGGGAACUGCAUUCGAAACUGGCAGGCUAGAGUCUUGUAGAGGGGGGUAGAAUUCCAGGUGUAGCGGUGAAAUGCGUAGAGAUCUGGAGGAAUACCGGUGGCGAAGGC
rnacentral:rRNA from 1 species